rnacentral:lncRNA from 1 species
CCAAUUCCUACCGGAUCCAUUUGUGAGGCGAAUUUCGUGGCGGAUUACGGACAGCAGUAAUCACGAGAACUCACAAGAACCUGCAGAUUCACGUUCAAUCGCUCGAUAACAAGUUGUCUCUCUAAAGACAGACACAUAGACAUAUAAGCAGUAGAUUGUGUCCUUCCAGAGGAGGAAAUCUACUUCUAGACUUCUAGAAUCAGCAUCUCCUCAUCCAUGGUGUCAUCGCGGUGAAAUGACGUCUAAAAACCUUUCACUUGUUCGUCUCCGCCCGUUUGCAUGGUGUGAAAUACGAUCCUCCUGAAACACGGAGUGUUUUAUUUUGAAAAGAAGCCGGAUGUUUUAUUUUGUGUCUGUGCCCGACUUCCUUUCCAGCACGGGUUAAUCUGUGCUGAAUUUAUCCGCCAUGCUCCGGCGUCCAGAAAAAAUAGAACUCUUGUGAUCAGCUGAGGAGUCCGGCGAUCCGCAGAGGAACGGAAAGAAGUCGGUGUAAAUUGACACGUUAACUUGAAUGGUUACGAUCAGCUAUGAUCGGAGGAUACGACCUUUUAGGAGACGAUCAGGAUGAAGGUGGAGAUUGGAGGUUAGUCCACAAUUCCACAACCGGUGCCAGAGCUCGGUCCAUAAAGCCCGUAGUGAAUUGGACUUGGAUCUGGUUAGGGUUGGACUCGUUCAGGGCUCUUGUUCAUAACUUUUAUAGACUGAAUUUCUCGGGGGGUUGAGGUGGUCCAGUUUGGGGGUCUUAGCAUUUGGUUACUACUUUUUGCAGAUGAUGUGGUCCUGUUGGCAUCAUCGGAUCAUAACCUUCAGUGACCUUCUCACUGGACCAACUCACAACUGAGUGUAAAGCUGCUGGGAUGAGACUCAGCACCUUCAACUCUGAGUGUAAAGCUGCUGGGAUGAGAGUCAAGUGCCCUCUGCAGGUCGGGGGUGAGAUCCCGCCCCAAGUGGAGAAGUUCAAGUAUCUCAGGGUUUACAUCAGCAGGGAUGUGGACUCUGCACGGGUCUGUGGUGGUGAAGAUGGAGCUGAGCUGAAAGGCUAAAGUUCUCCAUGUACCGAUCGAUCUACGUUCCUACUCUCACCUAUGAUCACCAGCUGUAGGUAGAGACAGAAAGAACAAGAUCACGGGUACAAGCGGCUGAAAUGAGUUUCCUCUGCAGGAUUGGUGGUCUCUACUUUAGUGAAAGGCUCGGUGCUCGGAGUAAAGCUGCUGCUCCUCUACGUUGAGAGGAGUCAGACGAGGUGACUUGGAUAUCUAACCAGGAUGUCUCUCGGAUACUUCCAUAGUGAGGUGAUCAGGACACGUCCCAUCGGUAAGAGACUUCCUUUCUUGGGCUGCUGCCUCCGUGACAUGACUCGGAUAAGCAGUAGAAGAUGGAUGGAUGGCGUUCAUCAGUCUGUGGUGAUGAUGAUUUUACUCCAGACUCAUCCAUGUUCAUUUAUUUAGAUUUUAAAAAGUCCUCUAAAAUGUCAAACUGGAAACUCUGACGUCAGGAGGUCUAAAUCUGACGUUAACAUUCACAAACUUACUUUCUUCAAACACACGCCAAAGAUUCAUCGACACGUGCAGAUAUUUUCAUUCUCAUGUUACAUAACAGCCGAUUAAAAGUCACCUGCUCAGUCAUUAAGUUUCUACCUCUCCGAGAAAACGACAACAGGCUGAAGAUUAGUGAAAAUGACCGACUGCAUUGUGUGAUUCUGUCUUCCAUUGUCUCCUGAACAAUGUGCGUGCUUAUUCACUACAAAAGCAGAGUCAUGACUUGAACUCUUCAUAAAAUAUUUUAAUAAUUACUCUGAUGAUAAAACGGACACACCCAGACCUGGGAAAAAAUAGAUCCUACGCUACACAUCGAGGAGAGUGAGGAGUUUUAGCUAGCCGCAGAUGUCAAGUGACGCAACGUGAAUUUUUCUACAGAUCCGUCAGAAAGCAUCUGGUUUAUUUUGGCGAGGACGCUCCCUGAAUUCAUUUUCUUCAUCAGUUUGGAGAAAAAUCACAUCAUCUUAUUUUACAAAACGUUUUUAAUUUUGAUGCAAAGAUUUAUACCUCCAAUGAGGCGUGGUGGUGCAUACAUCGGCGCCACGCUGUCUCAACGAUUAAAAAUAAAAAUCCGAGGCUUGUAAACAGACGGCUCAGCGGCGUGUUCAGACAGAUCCUUUUAUUCUAUUUUGAGGGCGUUUGUUUUAAAUAUACAACGGUUACUGAGUCACGGGAGCACCGCGGACAAACCGCUGAAGGUGGGGCUUAUUAAAUGUAAUUAUCUGUACGUGAAGCAGUCCUGUAAUACAGCUUAAACUCUCAUUAUAGAUAAUCAUAUGUUCUUUUAGAGGUUUUAUUUUACAGUUCAGAUCUGAAGGUUUAUUUUCUACCUGCUUUAAAUGUGUAAACGCUGCGAUCAAAGUUCAAUUUAUCGAGUUUUCCCCUCAUGAACAAACAAAUAAAUACAUUUAGAUCGAAGAUGUCCCACACUGGGAUAUUUUCUCUGAUCCCAUCAGUUUACUUCUCUGUAACCCGACAUCGACACACCGUGAGAAAAGUGCGCUCUGAUGUGGAUCCUGUUCAUACGAAUAAAACCAACAGGAACUGUUCGGAGCCGGUUUAAUCGGUCCCACAGGUCGGCCCGCAUAUUUCUCAGGUAUUACAAUUCAGCAGAAAGCUUUGAUUUGACAGCUUUGACAUCGUGCAGAAUAACCAGCUGCUGUCAAAGAAGACGCCAAUGUCACAAGGAUAAUAGGAUCGUAGUAACGUGCCCAAACCGUGAAAAUAAGGGUCCUCUGGGGCGUCAGUACCUGCUCUCACUCAUCCAAACAGAAAAUUCAGGGUUUACUCACAUUUUGCAGAGUUGGUUCGAGUCGAGUGAAUGCAAACAUGUCUGAAAAGAAUUAUUCUGUUUUCAAAAAUAUCCUUUUCACACCAGCAUCUUUAUCUCCAAAUGACUUGAAGCCCCCGUGACUUCUUCAGAUGUUGACCAUCUGUUUUAAAAUUAUCUGAAUUUAUUUAUUUGUGAACUUCUCUGCUCCUCUUAAAUUCUUGACUGUAUUCUGUCUCUCCAUCAUGUAAUAGAUAUUAUGACGUGUGCUGCUGACCUUACCGCCGUGUCAGCUUUGUGAAAAAGAUCUGAUUAAUGCGAUAAAUGGAAAUAUAUCCUGACAGUCACCUGGAGCAGUCCGGGGUUCAGAGGACACUUUCACGUCUUACUAACGACUCUACCACUGAGCCACCACCGCCGCCCCAAUAACUAAUCAAUAUUUUCUAUGUGCGUGCAAUGAAAACAAGAUAGAUCUUUAAUUCAAGAUUAUUCCACCUCGUCAAAAAUAAAGAUGAACUUCACCUUUAAUUCAAGCUCGUUUUACUUUUGCCAAGUUUUUCUAACGAUCCUCCUCCACCCAUCAUCUCAUCGUCUUUCCUGUUUGGAUGUUCAAACGCUGCAAAUGCAGAAUAAUUGACUCUGUUUUAACUGCUUCUGUUUUUCAUUCAGCUCAGAGAGUUCAUUCCAGAGCUUCUGUCUCAGCGUUCCCAUCUGUCUUUACCUCGUUUAAAUUCUGCCGUCGUAAAUCAUCGGAGUGCAAACUUGGCCUAAACCCAGCCGGUGUAAUUAUGUCAAAGAAAUUUAAUCUCCGGCUCACAGCGUGAACUAACUAGUCGGUUAGGUUUCAAGAAAAAAAGUUUGAUCUUUGGGGUUAAAAUAGUUCCUACUGUCAUGUAGGAUUAUGUAAAUACUUCACAUCUCCAGAUUAACUCCAUAUAUCAUCGCACACCAACGAGAGGACUCUACCGCUCUUUUUGAAAUUUAACCAAAAAAUGGACGUUAAUGUCGGAGUGUGAGUUUAUCUGUAGGGUCAGUGUCAUCUGGAAACCUCUGAUCAUCUGUUUUAAUUUAAUUUAAUGUGCUCUUAAUCCAAUUCAAAUCUGUACCAUGACCGUCCAUAUCUGUAAUUUGUGAUAAUGUAGAAGUGCUAAAUACUGCAGUUCCCUGAGUGUCCACUUGGGGCCGGCUGCAGAAGUAUCAUAGACCACAUACACAUUCAGUCAAAAAGUCAAUUUUUAUAAACAAAGUUUUUGACGACAUUUAGGGUCUAAACUCAGCUGGAUUAUUGUGACACACAGAGUUAAAAUCAUCGGUACUGACAGAUCCAUGUCAACCAUUAAAUAUCAUAAUAAAAACAACAAUAAAAACUAACAUUGUUAUUUUUUUUCCAUCACUUACUGGAUAUAAAACAGUGGGCUACAACAUGUGCAUGUGUAUUCUUGGCUGUGCAUGUCUAAAGUAAUGAUAGAAAUUUUCUGUUAGUUGUUUUAUGUUGUUUUAAUGUGUUUUUGUUUUAUUAAAGGGAUAUUCCGGCAUAAAACUAAUUUAGGGUCAAACACAUCGUAACACCGUAGACCCCCCUCCAGAGAUGAAUGUUGUCGACCGCUUGCUUCUCUAGUUAUACCAACUUUAGUAACGACCGCAGGAUAGCAAUACACAGCAGAUGUUCUUCCUUGAGCUGCUUCACCCCGCUGUAGUCCCUAACGGACUGGCCUGAGGUCUCUCUACGAACAAGCGGCUGCUGGAAGAGAGUAGGUGAGUUGUGUUCAGUCUCUUUGCUAAAGAAAUGAGUCAAAGUUAAAAAGAUGUUUGGUGUCUAGUACUAUGUCUGUGACCCUAUAUGUCCUGUUGAUGAAGUUAGGUGCUGUUCUGAGCAUUAUUUGUGGCUAUAGAGUGGCGUUUUGGUUGGGGGCGUGUCUCUCUAUAUUGCUAUCCUGCGGUCGUUACUAAAGUUGGUAUAACUAGAGAAGCAAGCGGUCGGCAACAUUCAUCUCUGGAGGGGGGGUCUAACUCGGUGUUACGGUGUGUUUGACCCUAAAUUAAUUUUAUGCCAGACUAUCCCUUUAACUAAUGUGAUUAAACGGAUGACAUGCUUUGCAAAAUGAGGUGAGAAACAUUUUCUUACCUUCGCCUGGACUGCAGAGACCUGGUUGCUUUUUUUGAGCUCGAGUUGAUUUCUUUCUCGUUGAUACUGAUGCAUAAGUUUUAUUUGACUAUCAUGGCCUGUAGAUAAAAUAAUAAACCUGUCAAGUGCAGACUUUUACUCAGGGCGUGGUCCUUCUUCAUGCAGAAGCUUCUUUGCUCUCCUGUCUUACAUCACUCUGUUGUUCAUCAUAAUAUGCAAAUCAGACAUGAUUAGACAAACAGGGAGAUUAUGACUGUUUAAUUACACAGCAUAAAGAAGGACACAGCUGUGGUUACGUCUAUUUUUGGGGAAAUGUGUUUGAAGGAGUUUGUCUGACUUUUGAAUGGGGUUCAUGUAAUUUUUAAUAAUCCAGACUCAGAUUAAAGGACUGAAGCCUGAAGCUCGGUAAAAAAGCAAAAACCUGAAAAACCACUUGAAUUUUUCCGAUUGUAAUUCAUGUUUGCGUUUGUGAUGUGAGUAAACAAAGACCGAACAAAGACGACUCUGCAAAUGAAAACAGAGAGCUUAUAAAGUCAAAGAAGAAGAAAAGGAGGAGCGUUUCGUUUUGUUGUUUUUUUUUGAGGGAAAGAAAAGACCGUCGAUUUGUCACAUUCCUCCCCGUCUCUCUCGCUCUCUCUCUCUCUCUCUCUCUCUCUCUCUCUCUCUCUCUCUCUCUCUCUCUCUCUCUUUCUCUCUCUUUAGCGCUGAAGGCUUGUUUUUAAGCCGAGGGCAGGUGAGGACAAAGUUUACAGCUGAAGCAGGUGAACGCCCUCCACAUCUCUGCUCACGAGACCGUAAAAGAAAUGAACCGGUAUGAUUUUUCUGCCUGCUCACUUAUUACUUUAUUCGACACACGUUCAAGGAGAAAACACGACCUCUGGAAACUCUCCUGUAACUUUAAAUCAAAGUUCGUAGACGUCUUAAAUAGUAAAACAUGUUUGGUACAGUGUCGAAUCAAACAGGUAAGUGACACACGGUGACUCAGAGGAAUAAAACGCGUCCUGGUGUUCAGGAAUUGCUCUUGCCUAAAUUCUGUGUUGGCUCAUGUUCGACGGAGACACGUGCCGCCCAGGCUCAGAGCUCAUUGUAUGUGUCAUAACCACAGAUCGCCGUUUAAGGAUGAUAAAAGAUUCAGAAGUUGAUUAACGUGUCGGUUUGGUCCUGCAGGUAAAAUAUUCCUCCCAGUCAUGGUGGACGCCAUCUUUGGGACCGUAGCGCUGUCCCAAAGACGGCUUCGUACAAUCAGUGAAAAAUCCGACAAAACUACCCGCCUCUCUGCAGAGUCCCUCAUGGCGAUAAAGAGCUGUGAGGAUUCCCACUUCUGUAUUUUAGGAUGAGUUAACAAUGAAGAAACUUUUCCCAAUUAGAGCGAAGAUAAGUGCAAGAUCAGUCGAUUAAGAGAUGUGAUUAUGAAACUUUCUAGACGGUCGUUUAAACUAAACUUUAGACAGAAUCUGUUUGAGGAGACGGUGACAUUUCCACGGUGCAGAAACCGACAGUUAGUGCUUCAGAGUUUCACGAAAAACCAGCUAAUGGAAGUGAGAGUUCACUGUCCGGUCGGUGUUGGGCGUAGCUGCAAAGAUCUUUGUCUUAUUUCUUAAGAAAAAUCCUGUUUACUGCAUAAUUAGUAAAAGUUUCAUCACAGGAUUGCAUAAGUUUUCUGCAGAAAUGACGAGCUUACACAACGACUCUGUAAAAAUAUCUCAAAUAUGCGACUUAAUGAUGUGUAUGAACCUGUUUAAUAAUCAAACGCUUUCACCUCUCAUCGUGAAAGUUGGAGAACGUUGUAGAUCAUCCAAUCACAAAAAUGGUUCACUUCCUCAUUCAACACUUAUUUAUAGAGGUGCAGGGAUUGACACUAACUUCUUUCACAUGUUCUCCUAAAUUAAAAAAGUAUGUCUGAUCGUCCGACCUUAGUGCUAUUAUUUAAAAUCAAUUUCAGGGCUUUUGGUCACAUGACAGUGAAGCUAUUGAAGAAAAACAGCCUUUUCUGAGAACAUCAACCGGUAAUUUAUUGACGGUCCCUUAUUCAACACCGACGUUGACAGUGAGGGUGUCGAGUAGAUUUAACCGCGCUGCUGUUGUUAUUCCCGGUUAUGGAGAGUGAGAAGACACCGGUAGAUCCUCAGAGAAUGUCCGUCAGAUAUCCAACCUGAAACUAACUUCACCGCCGUAUUUACAGGAAAAUAUAUCCAACCUGAAACUAACUUCACCGCCGUAUUUACAGGAAAAUAUAUCCAACCUGAAACUAACUUCACCGCCGUAUUUACAGGAAAAUAUAUCCAACCUAAAACUAACUUCACCGCCAUAUUUACAGGAAAAUAUAUCCAACCUAAAACUAACUUCACCGCUAUAGUUACAGGAAAAUAUAUCCAACCUGAAACUAACUUCACCGCCGUAUUUACAGGAAAAUAUAUCCAACCUAAAACUAACUUCACCGCUGUAUUUACAGGAAAAUAUAUCCAACCUAAAACUUGCUUCACCGCCGUAUUUACAGGAAAACAUAUCCAACCUAAAACUAACUUCAUCGCCUUAUUUAAAAAAAUUUGUUGCCGCAUCUAAUUCUAGUCGCAUAUGUGAGUGAAACGGUCACACUGUCGAGCCCUGAGGUGAAUAGUCAGAGGUGGUAAAAUGUUUUUUCUACAUUUACAAUAAAAACUGCAGAGUUACAAAGUGUGUUGUCUAGACUAGAUGUAUGUAAAGUUUUAAAUCAGGAGGUUAACAUGCUGUUAGUGGUGAUAAUCCCAGAAAAUAGACGUAAACGGCCCAAAACGGUUCAAUGGGAGAUCUCACGAGAUUUCAAUGAGACUCACUGAUCAAUUAGGUCAUCGCAAUCAGCUCUCCUAACUGGUUCAUCAGUGUGUGAGGUGACCAAUCAGAAGAAAGUACGCUCAUGAGGGGAGGGGGGAUUUAAAGAGACAGCAGCUAAAAUCUAACGUUUUAGAAAAAGGUUAAAAAAUCAUUUGAGAUGUUAAAGAAGUAUAAUACUACCUCUUUCAGUCCUGCAGGUCUUUGAUUAUAUACUUGAUUAAACUUUAAAACUUAAAGUUGAAAACACCUGAAAUGAAAUUGUUAAAUGUUGGUGUUUUUUUUUGUUUUUUUUUUGGGGGGGGGAGGCCACCUGUGCUGGACUGAGAGGAGCCCUUUAUCUAAACCAAAGUCCCUCCUGUUUAUUGUGACUGAGUGGACAGUUUCACACAAAGCGCUUCGGUCUCUCCUGAGGGGAACCUCAGACUGAUCCUAUCUGCUGAGUCUAGACUUCAGACAGCCGCCGGGGUUAACCCCUGCUGGAGGUUGAGGGACGUCCUCGGGGCCGUCAGUCCUCUCGUCUCUGUCUUUCUCGUCUCUGUUUUCAGAAGGAAACACUCACAGGUCUUCAGGAUGAAGCUAAUCUGAAGAGCACACAGAAAUAUUAUCCUUUCAGAUGUUUGCACUGCGGUGUUUCUCUGGAUUUAGGAAACGUCUCCAUCAAUCAGAGUUAGUUUAACUGUUUCUACAUGAUCUAAUUUGUUUAUGAUGUUUAUAACGAGUGAAAUUGUUCGUGUUGUUUGUGGUCUUUGUCAAACCGUCAAUCUUUAGACUGGUUUGUACUUAAAAUAAGAGUCAGCACUUAUCCUCAUCUGAGCGAUGUGUCAUCAGAAAACAGGUCUGUGAAAAAAGAAAAGAAAAAACUGGGGAUGAACUCUGCUUUAACAGUUGUCAUGGCGACCUGCAAAACUAAACAGGAACAAGUUCAGGACGGAGGAAAAUGGUCAGGGAUCCUUCACUUUGGUUUGGUCCAUAUUUAUAGAUUUUUGUUGGUAUCAGAAGAGUUUAUGACUUUUUCAGUAUUUAAUAAGGACGACAGGACGAUACUUUUACCUGAGAUCUCUGCACAAGCAUAAAUAAGCGAUUCCUUUGACUUUUAUUUUGAAAAUUUUAACCUAUCACAUCUGUCUGCCUUCUCACCACAUCUUGACUGAUCGACUCAAAGAAGAAAUGAUUUUUAAAAAAAAGGAAAAAAUUGAAAAUUAGUGCCUGUUUUUCCUGCUUUGUGCAAAAGAGACAGAAAAACAAAAGUGGUUUUUCAUUUUCACUCCAAGACUGUAAAAGACAACGUGAUUUUGUUUUUGAUUUGACAACAUAAAACAAACAAAACAGAACUUUUUCAAUAUUAAAUUUAUAACAAUUAAACAAGACUGAAGAUGGGAAAUGGGUUGAAGAUGUUUGAUUUUGAUUUUGAUUAGUUUGAGACGGUUAAAUGGUAAUCCCGUAUCUGGCAGUGGGAUGAAAAAGAAAACACGAAGAUAAAAAUGUGCUAAAUCUAUCACAGUUAACUCUUAAUAACUACUUGUUCCUGUACCGAGCCUUAAAAGGUUGAACAAAAUCUUCAAUAAAAUAAAAGAAAACACUUAUUUUGUUUAUGGAUCGCUCAUGAAACACCAGAACUUUCCACUUCUUAUUUAUGAACCUUUUCUUUUGGCCUUGUGCAUCCAGGACACUGUCCUCACUAACUAAAUAACUAACUAAUACACUCACUCACUCACUCACUCACUAACUUACCUAUUUACUUACUUACUUACUUACUUACUAACUAACUCACUAACUAACUAUCUGGGCUCUGAACAUGACUAACAACCUGCGGAGUCAUCCAGAAUUCCUGGUCCAUCCUGUCAGUGAAUGACCACCCACUGUGAAAUUAAGAGUCAUUUUGUUACGUAACCUUUGUCUCAUUAGUGAGCGGUGUUCUGACUCAUUUUAAAGAUAUAAUCAAUAAAAAAAACUGAAUCACAGAUCGGAGAAGAUUGCUGCUGUGAUUAUAUAAUGAUUAAAGCAUUAAUGGGUGAUAUUGGGGUGAAUGGUUCUUGUCUUUGUGGCUGCGUGGUUUGUGUGGGUGUGACGAAACAAAAGAGUAAGAUUGGACGUUUGGACUCGGUGUCCUCUUAUUGACUCAGGGAGGAACGGCGAACAGCCUCUGAUUGUUCUCAGGAAUGACGCCUUCACUGCAGGACUGUUGACUUUUCUGAUGGUAAGAGCUUAAGCAUUGAUCCGAGUAAACGCAGAGCUGCUCUCAGUUAUCGGCUGUAUGCACAGAGGUGAGACCCACUCAAGUUCAAGGUGGGGAGAUUUUUCACGGCUGAGAGACGAGUGACAAACUCAGGUGUUCAAAAAAUGACGUUUCUCAAGAGUCCACUUAAGACCGGCUUCAUGGACAUGUAGAAAAACCCACUAUCACAGCAGAAAACAUCAUGUUAGCAGUAAAUAAGAUGGUGAGGUGUCUGAAUGAACCAAUUCUCCGUUUCUACACACAGUAAAAAGGAUAAAUUUAACAAACUUCUGUCCUUGUUUCGUUCACAAGAACCAGGCAGCGAUCGACAAAAGUACGUUAACCUUUAUGUUAAUCGAUAAACUCCUCUAGUUUUGCUUCGUUCCAGAUCUACUCAGGAUUUCUGAGCUCUGAAGAUUCAUCUGAAACGCCCCCUGAAGUCAGAUUUACGACUCGGAAAGUCGGACGAUCCUCACCGACCCCGACUUGACGACAACGUCAUAAUCCAAGAUGACAGCGAAAGCUCUUGUAAUGUUUUAUUUAUUAGCACUUCUGUUUUGUUUUUGUGAAAUUAAAUUAGUGGUUUAUGUUGUACCGCCCAACGUUAAACUGUGAACACGCUGCUAUGGUGUUUGUAAGAGUAAAAUACCGUGUUAUGUGUUAUUUACAACAGGUAUAGCUAACAACUAACAACAGCUAACGACAGCUGAUAACCGCUAACAACAACUGACGACGGCUAACGACAGCUAACGACAGCUGACAACAGCUAACAACAGAUGACAACCGCUAACAACAACUAACAACAGCUAACAACAGCUUAUAACGACUAUCAAUGCUAAAAACAGAUGACAACGGCUAACGACAGCUGACAACAGCUAACGACAGCUGAUAACCGCUAACGACAGCUGAUAACCGCUAACAACAACUGACGACGGCUAACCACAGCUAACGACAGCUGACAACAGCUAACAACAGAUGACAACAGCUAACAACAGCUUAUAACGACUAUCAAUACUAAAAACAGAUGACAACGGCUAACGACAGCUGACAACCACUAACAAUUACUGACAAUGGCUAACAACAAUUAAAAACGGCUAAUGACACCCGACAAAUGCUAACAAAAACUGGCAACGGCUAACGACAGCUGAUGAUUGUAAGCAACAGCUAACAAUGGCUAACCGUUGGCGUCCAUCUUGAUUUUCUGACUUGUUAACUGGAAAGCCAUUAACUCAGGUGUAACGUCAUUCCCAGCUCUGACAUCCGACUUCCGAGGUAACUGGAACGCAGCGUUAAAACUGGAACGUAUUUUUUUACUUAACAUACCAAAACGAUUUCCAAACCAGUUAGCAAGAAGCUAACGGGUUUGUAUUUUGAAGGAUUAAAAACGCUGAAAACUUCACAGCUGUGUGACUUUUGUGUUCUUUUUACUCCCCAGUUUAUGAAACAAAGGCUGAGUGUAAAUUUCGCCCCCAACAGUUUUCUCUUCUCGAAUCGCCCGCUCUAACAAGUUUUUUUAGGAUCAUUAAGACAACGAGCUGAGGCCAACGAUCACACUGCUGCUAAUAAGGCUGAUCAAGAGAAAACGAGGAUCAGUUUGGUUUGAUUAUCGGCCGAUCGAUCGGUGACGAGUGGGUGUCUUACAGGUGACUACUGCUCUAGAAAAAUCACAUAUUUUUAAGCCAUCUUUAAAAAGGAGAGUGAGUUCUUGCUACAGAUUACUACACACAUCCUUCUAUUAAAUGAGAUCAAUCUGAAUCAACUCUAUGCAGAUGACGCCUCACUUCCUGUGACAGUAAAGCGUGUUAGUCAUUUAAGAGCUGUUAUCUGUACAGACAUGAUUAUCGACUUCUUUUAUUGUUCACUUUUUACUGGAGGAGACACUUUACAGCUCUGUGGUGUGGUAACUAUAAAAGUUACACCAAACUGUAAAUUACACUCGGACUCCAGAAACAGAUUAGUGUUGAGACGUCUCAAUGACCGUAUCAGUGACUCCACAGUCAGGAACGCUGUUAGAGAUAUGACGCCGUACCGUAAAUUCAGCAACGAUACAAAUCUAAGAACGUUGAUUUCUCCUAAUUAUGCAUAAAAAAGACAGAACAAACUGAAUGUUCACAGAAAAAAAAUUAAAAAUGCAAAAAUAUAAAUACAAAGUUCUUAAUUUAGCUGCAUUAUGAAUUUUAUUUCAUUAAAAUGACUUUUAUAUUCAGAGGAUUUGCUGCUUUUUUCAUUUUCAGAGAAACUUUUCUUGGCGACUUUUCUGUUGAACAUGAAAUAAUAAAAAGUUUAUUGACAACUUCUUUAAUGUUUGUCCUUAUUCUAAAACAGGUAAAAAUCAUAUCAGGGUCUUUUUCUUCAAAUAUAUUUAUUCCUGCUUAAUUCAGCAGACUGGGACUCAUGGCAGGGUUCCUACACAAGUAUGGAAGUAAUUUGAUCAAUUUCCAGGUCUUAAAAAGUAUGAUAAAUGAAAAAUAGUUUGAGAAAAUAUUUAGGUUUCCAACUAUUACCACAGUAAAAAAAAAAAAAACAGUUUUCUAAAAUAGAGAAGUUGGUAUUUCCAAAAAUAAUUCUAAAAAGUAAAGUAUGAAAAAUUCCAACUGUGUAGGAACCCUGUCAUGGCUUUUCCCCCUCUACUUUAAAGUUCCUCUGGUUAAUAAUAAUAAGAGCUUUAUUAUAAAAUAUAUUACUCAUGUUUUGGCAUAAAUUAGCAUAAAACAAAUUAAACAUAUGAGAAGUAAAUCCCUGCAGCUGCCACCUCUGAAUUUAACCUCUGUGGAGUAUCAUGACUUCUGCGAUUUCACUUCUCUGUCAUUUUGUUUCUACAGUUUCUCUCAUUAAUUAAUAAAAGUAUUUUAAUCACAUUAAAACGGCUCAUGAUGGUGUUAUACUCGUAUCCUAUUAGUUUGUGAUUCGUCUAAAUCACUAACUGUGAAACUGAAACUGUUGUAGAGAAGCUUUUAUUAUGAUAGUUCCUACAUAGUAAAACUACACUUUUAUUUUGAAGGUUUAAAAAAAAUAGUUGCACUUAUUUUCAGCAUAAUAUCAAUAUUUGAUAUUUGAAUAAAGGAGGUUUUCCAAUAUCCUGCCACAGCCCUGCGUGACUCUUCUCUCUGUUUUUGGCCAAACUGGUAAUUAAUCCCAUAAUAACCAUAAUAAUAUAAUGAUAAUGUUCUAAUUAUGCCUCAUUAAAUCUCCUGUAAUUACCAGGCUGGUGUCUGUGCUCAUAUGACUGAUUUUUGUACUUUUCAUAAAAGGAUGUUGUAAAGUUUUGACAUCUGUCCGUUAGGAAGUGUCGCAGAGAUUCGCUGUAACUCGUGUAUAAGAGGAACAGCACUUAUAUUUUUAUGGUUAUAGUCACAUAAAUGUUUUUCUUGGAGACAGUCUGAGUAACAUGUAAACCAUAAAGAUAACCGCGCACAGUAAAUGUCAUUUCGCUGUCACCGGACGUCUUAUCAAGAAGGAAACUUUGUGCCGUUUAUGGUCAAACGUCGCUGAAACGACCACACUCCUAGGUCUGCGUGAUUCGACAGAAUAUAACGAGGAAACCGUCGGUGCAAUCGUGUUUUUGAGGUUAGAGAAAAUUCCCCAGAAACAGACGACAACUUUGUAAAAGACGAUAUUUACAUGUGGAUGCAAAACGAGUUAAACAAAUGACAACAGAGACAAAAUGUGAGCGUGUUCGAUCCUGUAAAGACAAGAAACACUCGUAGAUUCAGAACAAAACGGUGGAAAUCGGUGAGUUGCAGAUUCCUGAUAAAUGACCAGGCAGAAGGUAAAGAGGGCGAUCCUAAAACUGAAGUGAAGCAAUAAGGAAGACGCUGAUGCCAGACCUACUAACACAAAACCACUUCACCCUCCAGAUAUUUCAGGGAGGAAGAAAUGAAGAACUGUUUCACAACACUCACAGGGCUGUAAAUCCCUGCAGGAUACGUGACCAUAUUUGGGUUUCAGGAAGUCCUGGAAUUCCUUCAGGUGAGAUAUGAGUGAGUGUGUGACGUGACCGUGGAGGAGGCGGGAGAAGAAGCUCUUAUUUACUUUAUCGUUUCCUGAAGGUGAUGAAUCAGAGUUGAUGUUGCAUAGAUACAAACUCACAUAGAUCUACUCCUAACCUAGAUUUACUUUCCUUUUAAAAGCAGAUUGAUACUUUGACCCCUGAGCCCCGCCGUAUCAGGUUACCCCCCCGUCCAAACACACACCUGUCAGGAGAAGGUGAAAGGUGAGAGAGAGGUCUGCUCCGAGGACAGAGAGGAGGGGGAGCUGAGCUCUUAUUGACUCCUCAUUGUUCGAGAGUAAAACCUCCUCACGGGGUCAGAGGGAGUCCCACCCACACGCUCCGCCUACAACGUGUCAACGCCGCCUCAACGUCGUCUCAUCAGCGGCCUCGUUGUUUGUUUUAGCCGCUAUUCUAGAUUACAGUCAGGGUUUUAUCAGCUGAUAUUUUUCAUGUCAUAAAGUCAUGAUAACUAUUACACUCCGAUGUUGAUGUUGAGAGGGAGAGCGUGUAACCCCCAAUUUUCACCCCAUCCAGACUGGCUCUGAUCCAGAGCGGCGCCACACACCAAUUCCUACUGGAUCCAUUUGUGAGGCGAAUCAUGAGAACUCACAAGAACCCGCAGAUUCACGUUCAAUCACGCGAUAACGAGUCGUCUCUCUAAAGACAGACACAUAGACAUAUAAGCAGUAGAUUGUGUCCUUCCAGAGGAGGAAAUCUACUUCUAGACUUCUAGAAUCAGCAUCUCCUCAUCCAUAAGUGUUUUAUUUUGAAAAGAAGCCGGAUGUUUUAUUUUGUGUCUGUACCCGACUUCCUUUCCAGCACGGGUUAAUCUGUGCUGAAUUUAUCCGCCAUGCUCCGGCGUCCAGAAAAAAUAGAACUCUUGUGAUCAGCUGAGGAGUCCGGCGAUCCGCAGAGGAACGGAAAGAAGUCGGUGUAAAUUGACACGUUAACUUGAAUGGUUACGAUCAGCUACGAUCGGAGGAUACGACCUUUUAGGAGACGAUCAGGAUGAAGGUGGAGAUUGGGGGUGAGAAAAACUA